GGCCGCCCCGCAGCAGUUCUUCAGUGGCAUGCUUUACGUCGUGUGCCAGCUAAAGCUGCCAGUUGAAGAACUGUUGACCGUGGC
rnacentral:pre_miRNA from 1 species